AGGAUGAACGCUAGCGGGAGGCUUAACACAUGCAAGUCGAGGGGCAGCAUAGGGUAGCAAUACUCUGAUGGCGACCGGCAAACGGGUGAGUAACGCGUAUGCAACCUACCCUGUACAGGGGGAUAACCCGGAGAAAUUCGGACUAAUAUCCCGUAAUAAUAUCCGGAGGCAUCUUUGGAUAUUUAAAGUUCCGACGGUACGGGAUGGGCAUGCGUAACAUUAACUGGUUGGUAAGGUAACGGCUUACCAAGGCUAUGAUGUUUAGGGGUCCUGAGAGGGUGGUCCCCCACACUGGUACUGAGACACGGACCGGACUCCUACGGGAGGCAGCAGUGAGGAAUAUUGGUCAAUGGGCGCAAGCCUGAACCAGCCAUCCCGCGUGCAGGAAGACGGCCCUAUGGGUUGUAAACUGCUUUUCCAGGGAGAGAAACUUACGCACGUGUUGCGUGACUGACGGUACCCUGGGAAUAAGCAUCGGCUAACUCCGUG
rnacentral:rRNA from 1 species